AGCAAAGGUGGUUGGUGACCCUUUUGAUCCAAAUGUUCGACAGGGACCCCAAGCUAGUAAAAACCAGUAUGAGAAGAUACUUUCAUAUAUAGAGCAUGGGAAGAGGGAGGGUGCUACAUUGCUAACUGGUGGUAAGCCACUGGACAGAAAAGGCUAUUUCAUCCAGCCAACUAUAUUUACAGAUGUCUGGAUGACAUGCUAAUUGCAAAAGAUGAAAUUUUUGGACCUGUUAUGCUUAUACUGAAAUUCAAGACAGUGGAGGCGGUGAUAAAGAGGGCUAAUGACACAAAGUAUGCCAAUAACAACAAUAUAUAUUAUAUAUAUGUGUGUAGUUGGAUGUAUGGUAUGCCAUAUGGUAAUCCUAUUACCCAAGGGAAAUUUUGUGUAUAAUUACCACAUGCCAAUUGCCCAAUUGUUGAUAUUUGGAUGUACAGUAAUUUAAACUUGUCAUUU